rnacentral:rRNA from 1 species
CUACGGGCUGCUGCAGUGGGGAAUCUUGUGCAAUGGGCGAAAGCCUGACACAGCAACGCCGCGUGCGGGAAGAAGGCCUUCGGGUCGUAAACCGCUUUCAGCAGGAACGAAAAUGACGGUACCUGCAGAAGAAGGUGCGGCCAACUACGUGCCAGCAGCCGCGGUGACACGUAGGCACCAAGCGUUGUCCGGAUUUAUUGGGCGUAAAGAGCUCGUAGGCGGUUCAGCAAGUCGAGUGUGAAAACUAUGGGCUUAACCCAUAGCCUGCAUCCGAAACUGCUGUGACUAGAGUUCGGUAGGGGAGAGGGGAAUUCCUAGUGUAGCGGUGAAAUGCGCAGAUAUUAGGAGGAACACCGAUGGCGAAGGCACCUCUCUGGGCCGAUACUGACGCUGAGGAGCGAAAGCGUGGGUAGCAAACAGGAUUAGAUACCCCCGUAGUC